rnacentral:tRNA from 1 species
AAGGUACUAGUAAAAUUUAUUAUACUGCUUUGUCAGGGCAGAAUUGUGAGUUAAACCCUCACGUAUCUUA